AACGAACGCUGGCGGCAUGCCUAACACAUGCCAGUCGAACGAUCCCUUCGGGGAUAGUGGCGCACGGGUGCGUAACGCGUGGGAACCUGCCCUUAGGUUCGGAAUAACUCAGAGAAAUUUGAGCUAAUACCGGAUAAUGUCUUCGGACCAAAGAUUUAUCGCCUUUGGAUGGGCCCGCGUUGGAUUAGCUAGUUGGUGGGGUAAAGGCCUACCAAGGCGACGAUCCAUAGCUGGUCUGAGAGGAUGAUCAGCCACACUGGGACUGAGACACGGCCCAGACUCCUACGGGAGGCAGCAGUGGGGAAUAUUGGACAAUGGGCGAAAGCCUGAUCCAGCAAUGCCGCGUGAGUGAUGAAGGCCUUAGGGUUGUAAAGCUCUUUUACCCGGGAUGAUAAUGACAGUACCGGGAGAAUAAGCCCCGGCUAACUCCGU
rnacentral:rRNA from 1 species